rnacentral:rRNA from 1 species
AUUGAACGCUGGCGGCAUGCUUUACACAUGCAAGUCGAACGGUAACAGGCCGCAAGGUGCUGACGAGUGGCGAACGGGUGAGUAAUGCAUCGGAACGUGCCCAGUCGUGGGGGAUAACUACCCGAAAGAGUAGCUAAUACCGCAUACGAUCUAUGGAUGAAAGCGGGGGACCGUAAGGCCUCGCGCGAUUGGAGCGGCCGAUGUCAGAUUAGGUAGUUGGUGGGGUAAAGGCUCACCAAGCCAACGAUCUGUAGCUGGUCUGAGAGGACGACCAGCCACACUGGGACUGAGACACGGCCCAGACUCCUACGGGAGGCAGCAGUGGGGAAUUUUGGACAAAGGGCGCAAGCCUGAUCCAGCAAUGCCGCGUGCAGGAAGAAGGCCUUCGGGUUGUAAACUGCCUUUGUACGGAACGAAACGGCUCUGGUUAAUACCCGGGGCUAAUGACGGUACCGUAAGAAUAAGCACCGGCUAACUACGUG